AUUGAACGCUGGCGGCAUGCUUUACACAUGCAAGUCGAACGGUAACAGGCCGCAAGGUGCUGACGAGUGGCGAACGGGUGAGUAAUGCAUCGGAACGUGCCCAGUCGUGGGGGAUAACGCAGCGAAAGCUGUGCUAAUACCGCAUACGAUCUAUGGAUGAAAGCGGGGGACCGUAAGGCCUCGCGCGAUUGGAGCGGCCGAUGUCAGAUUAGGUAGUUGGUGGGGUAAAGGCUCACCAAGCCAACGAUCUGUAGCUGGUCUGAGAGGACGACGAGCCACACUGGGACUGGGACACGGCCCAGACUCCUACGGGAGGCAGCAGUGGGGAAUUUUGGACAAUGGGCGCAAGCCUGAUCCAGCAAUGCCGCGUGCAGGAAGAGGGCCUUCGGGUUGUAAACUGCUUUUGUACGGAACGAAAAGGUUUGGGUUAAUACCCUGGGCCGAUGACGGUACCGUAAGAAUAAGCACCGGCUAACUACGUGCCAGCCGCCGCGGUAA
rnacentral:rRNA from 1 species